rnacentral:rRNA from 1 species
GAUGAACGCUGGCGGCGUGCCUAAUACAUGCAAGUCGAGCGAACAGACGAGGAGCUUGCUCCUCUGACGUUAGCGGCGGACGGGUGAGUAACACGUGGAUAACCUACCUAUAAGACUGGGAUAACUUCGGGAAACCGGAGCUAAUACCGGAUAAUAUAUUGAACCGCAUGGUUCAAUAGUGAAAGACGGUUUUGCUGUCACUUAUAGAUGGAUCCGCGCCGCAUUAGCUAGUUGGUAAGGUAACGGCUUACCAAGGCGACGAUGCGUAGCCGACCUGAGAGGGUGAUCGGCCACAUUGGAACUGGGACACGGACCAGACUCCUGCGGGAGGGCGCAGUAGGGAAUGUUCCGCAAUGGGCGAAAGCCUGACGGAGCAAGGCCGCGUGAGUGAUGAAGGUGUUCGGAUCGUAAAGCUCUGUUAUUAGGGAAGAACAAAUGUGUAAGUAACUAUGCACGUCUUGACGGUACCUAAUCAGAAAGCCACGGCUAACUACGUG